CCCGCCUUAGCUCAGUUGGAAGAGCACAAGACUGUAAUUUAACGUUGACAUCUUGGGGUCCCUGGUUCGAUCCCUGGAGGCGUAG
rfam:Brettanomyces bruxellensis AWRI1499 AWRI1499_contig2209_scaffold33, whole genome shotgun sequence.